UACACUCCUGCGGGAGGCAGCAGUGGGGAAUUUUGGACAAUGGGCGAAAGCCUGAUCCAGCAAUGCCGCGUGAGUGAAGAAGGCCUUCGGGUUGUAAAGCUCUUUUGUCAGGGAAGAAACGGUGAGAGCUAAUAUCUUUUGCUAAUGACGGUACCUGAAGAAUAAGCACCGGCUAACUACGUGCCAGCAGCCGCGGUAAUACGUAGGGUGCAAGCGUUAAUCGGAAUUACUGGGCGUAAAGCGUGCGCAGGCGGUUUUGUAAGUCUGAUGUGAAAUCCCCGGGCUCAACCUGGGAAUUGCAUUGGAGACUGCAAGGCUAGAAUCUGGCAGAGGGGGGUAGAAUUCCACGUGUAGCAGUGAAAUGCGUAGAUAUGUGGAGGAACACCGAUGGCGAAGGCAGCCCCCUGGGUCAAGAUUGACGCUCAUGCACGAAAGCGUGGGGAGCAAACAGGAUUAGAAACCCCAGUAGUCCCAUG
rnacentral:rRNA from 1 species